GAAUUCGCCCUUAGAGUUUGAUCCUGGCUCAGGACGAACGCUGGAGGCGUGCUUAAUACAUGCAAGUCGAACGAACUCGACCUUCGGGUCAUAUGAGUGAGUGGCGAACGGGUGAGUAACACGUGAGAAACCUGCCUCGAAGUUUGGGAUAACCCAGGGAAACUCGGGCUAAUACCAAAUACCUUCUAAGAACCGCCUGGUUCAUUGAAGAAAGAUUUAUCGCUUUGAGAGGGUCUCGCGGCCUAUCAGCUAGUUGGUGAGGUAACGGCUCACCAAGGCAUCGACGGGUAGCUGGUCUGAGAGGACGAUCAGCCACACUGGGACUGAGACACGGCCCAGACUCCUACGGGAGGCAGCAGUAGGGAAUCUUGCACAAUGGGCGAAAGCCUGAUGCAGCGACGCCUCGUGGGGGAUGAAGGCCCUAGGGUCGUAAACCCCUUUCAGUAGGGACGAAAAUGACGGUACCUACAGAAGAAGCUCCGGCCAACUACGUGCCAGCAGCCGCGGUAAUAAGGGCGAAUUC
rnacentral:rRNA from 1 species